CUUGAUGGAUCCCAGCAACAGCGGCUGGUCCGCAUCGCGGCCCUGGCCGUACGUCGCGAGCAGCGCCUGCGCCUC
rnacentral:antisense_RNA from 1 species